CGGACAGUAGCUCAGUAGUAGAGUUCCCACUUCGUAUGCGGGAAGACUUGGGUUCGAUUCCCGGCUGCUUAG
rnacentral:tRNA from 1 species